rnacentral:rRNA from 1 species
AUGGAUGUGGAGAAGAAAGGAGGUAGAAACUACCUUACCUGGACGGAUGAAAUGGAUGAAGCAAUGCUGAAUGUGUUCGUGGAGCAUUACAAUAGAGGGGAUCGUGCUCAAAAUGGGUGGAAGCCACAUGUUUACACUGCAGUUGUCAAGAAUGUUCGAGCCAAGUGCAAUGUGGAUAUCACAAAGGAGAAUGUCAUAUCAAGGUGCAAGACUAUUGAUAGACACUAUGUCAAUGUCAGCAAGAUGUUGUCAACGAGUGGUUUUGGGUGGGAUUGGAUCCAUAACAAGCUUAUGGUUGAUAGUGAGGACGUGUGGAGCAACUAUGUCAAGGCAAACAAAGAUGCCGCAUGCUACAGGCACAAGGUCAUAAAGUUUUGGGACUCUAUCAGCCUUGUCUUCUCGAAGGAUCAUGCCACCGGAACCGGAGCCAGAACUGCUGGUGAAAGUGCAACGGAAAUGGCUGUAGAGAAUGUCAACAACAUCAACACUGAUUCUGCCGCAACAUCUUCAACCCAAACCGGCGAGGAACAGAAGAGGAAGAGAUAUCGAUCGGAUGACUCAAUUGCAUCUAUGCUUGGAGAGAAACUGGAUAAUUUUACCAGUGCCUACAAAGCUGAUAUCGCUCAAGUUGCUCCUCCUGAGAAACCCUCCUCUCCUGAAGAAAUACUUGACGCUCUCAAUGCAAUUGUGGGACUGGAUGAUGAUGGCUUGCUAGCAGCUUAUGAUAUCCUCAUAGCAGAUGACCGCAAGUUCAAGGCUCUUAUGGCGCUGCCUGAAAGGAUGAAGAAGAAAUGGAUCCUCAAGCAAAUCAACCAAUGA